AACUUUUGACAACGGAUCUCUUGGUUCUGGCAUCGAUGAAGAACGCAGCGAAGUGCGAGAGGUAAUGUGAAUUGCAGAAUUCAGUGAAUCAUCGAAUCUUUGAACGCACAUUGCACUCCUUGGUGUUCCGAGGAGUAUGCCUGUUUCAGUAUCAUGAGCACUCUCACAACUAACCUUUGCUGGUAAAGUUGUGGAAUUGGGAUGCGCCAAUUGUUACUGAUUGGCCCUCCUAAAAUGUAGCUCUUGACUGUGGACUGCUACAGUAGUUUGGCCUAAUAGUUUUGGCACUUGUUUGUCAAAUCUUUGGCUACCUUUACUUUGGUCCAUGCAGUCUUGAUAUACAGAAAACUCUAAUACAUCUUUGAUCUGAAAUCAGGUAGGGCUACCCGCUGAACUUAAGCAUAUCAAUAAGCGGAGGCG
rnacentral:misc_RNA from 1 species